UACGUAGGGGGCAAGCGUUGUCCGGAUUUAUUGGGCGUAAAGAGCAUGUAGGCGGUUAGGUAGGUCCGUUGUGAAAACUCGAGGCUCAACCUCGAGACGCCGAUGGAAACCAUCUAACUAGAGUCCGGAAGAGGAGAGUGGAAUUCCUGGUGUAGCGGUGAAAUGCGCAGAUAUCAGGAAGAACACCCGUGGCUAAGGCGGCUCUCUAGUACGGUACUGACGCUGAGACGCGAAAGCGUGGGGAGCGAACAGG
rnacentral:rRNA from 1 species